rnacentral:rRNA from 1 species
UUAAGCGACCAAGCGUACACGGUGGAUGCCCUGGCAGUCAGAGGCGAUGAAGGACGUGCUAAUCUGCGAUAAGCGCCGGUAAGGUGAUAUGAACCGUUAUAACCGGCGAUUUCCGAAUGGGGAAACCCAGUGUGACUCGUCACACUAUCAUUAACUGAAUCCAUAGGUUAAUGAGGCGAACCGGGGGAACUGAAACAUCUAAGUACCCCGAGGAAAAGAAAUCAACCGAGAUUCCCCCAGUAGCGGCGAGCGAACGGGGAGGAGCCCAGAGCCUGAAUCAGCAUGUGUGUUAGUGGAAGCGUCUGGAAAGGCGCGCGAUACAGGGUGACAGCCCCGUACACAAAAGCGCACAUGUUGUGAGCUCGAUGAGUAGGGCGGGACACGUGGUAUCCUGUCUGAAUAUGGGGGGACCAUCCUCCAAGGCUAAAUACUCCUGACUGACCGAUAGUGAACCAGUACCGUGAGGGAAAGGCGAAAAGAACCCCGGCGAGGGAGUGAAACAGAACCUGAAACCGUGUACGUACAAGCAGUGGGAGCACAGGUUUACCUGUGUGACUGCGUACCUUUUGUAUAAUGGGUCAGCGACUUAUAUUCUGUAGCAAGGUUAACCGCAUAGGGGAGCCGAAGGGAAACCGAGUCUUAAUUGGGCGUUAAGUUGCAGGGUAUAGACCCGAAACCCGGUGAUCUAGCCAUGGGCAGGUUGAAGGUUGGGUAACACUAACUGGAGGACCGAACCGACUAAUGUUGAAAAAUUAGCGGAUGACCUGUGGCUGGGGGUGAAAGGCCAAUCAAACCGGGAGAUAGCUGGUUCUCCCCGAAAGCUAUUUAGGUAGCGCCUCGUGAACUCAUCUCCGGGGGUAGAGCACUGUUUCGGCUAGGGGGCCAUCCCGGCUUACCAACCCGAUGCAAACUGCGAAUACCGGAGAAUGUUAUCACGGGAGACACACGGCGGGUGCUAACGUCCGUCGUGAAGAGGGAAACAACCCAGACCGCCAGCUAAGGUCCCAAAGUCAUGGUUAAGUGGGAAACGAUGUGGGAAGGCCCAGACAGCCAGGAUGUUGGCUUAGAAGCAGCCAUCAUUUAAAGAAAGCGUAAUAGCUCACUGGUCGAGUCGGCCUGCGCGGAAGAUGUAACGGGGCUAAACCAUGCACCGAAGCUGCGGCAGCGACGCUUAUGCGUUGUUGGGUAGGGGAGCGUUCUGUAAGCCUGCGAAGGUGGCCUGUGAGGGUUGCUGGAGGUAUCAGAAGUGCGAAUGCUGACAUAAGUAACGAUAAAGCGGGUGAAAAGCCCGCUCGCCGGAAGACCAAGGGUUCCUGUCCAACGUUAAUCGGGGCAGGGUGAGUCGACCCCUAAGGCGAGGCCGAAAGGCGUAGUCGAUGGGAAACGGGUUAAUAUUCCCGUACUUGGUGUUACUGCGAAGGGGGGACGGAGAAGGCUAUGUUGGCCGGGCGACGGUUGUCCCGGUUUAAGCAUGUAGGCGGAGGUUCCAGGUAAAUCCGGUACCUUAUUAACGCUGAGGUGUGAUGACGAGGCACUACGGUGCUGAAGUAACAAAUGCCCUGCUUCCAGGAAAAGCCUCUAAGCAUCAGGUAACAUCAAAUCGUACCCCAAACCGACACAGGUGGUCAGGUAGAGAAUACCAAGGCGCUUGAGAGAACUCGGGUGAAGGAACUAGGCAAAAUGGUGCCGUAACUUCGGAGAAGGCACGCUGACACGUAGGUGAAGUGGUUUACCCAUGGAGCUGAAGUCAGUCGAAGAUACCAGCUGGCUGCAACUGUUUAUUAAAAACACAGCACUGUGCAAACACGAAAGUGGACGUAUACGGUGUGACGCCUGCCCGGUGCCGGAAGGUUAAUUGAUGGGGUCAGCGCAAGCGAAGCUCCUGAUCGAAGCCCCGGUAAACGGCGGCCGUAACUAUAACGGUCCUAAGGUAGCGAAAUUCCUUGUCGGGUAAGUUCCGACCUGCACGAAUGGCGUAAUGAUGGCCAGGCUGUCUCCACCCGAGACUCAGUGAAAUUGAACUCGCUGUGAAGAUGCAGUGUACCCGCGGCAAGACGGAAAGACCCCGUGAACCUUUACUAUAGCUUGACACUGAACAUUGAGCCUUGAUGUGUAGGAUAGGUGGGAGGCUUUGAAGCGUGGACGCCAGUCUGCGUGGAGCCAACCUUGAAAUACCACCCUUUAAUGUUUGAUGUUCUAACGUGGACCCGUAAUCCGGGUUGCGGACAGUGUCUGGUGGGUAGUUUGACUGGGGCGGUCUCCUCCUAAAGAGUAACGGAGGAGCACGAAGGUUGGCUAAUCCUGGUCGGACAUCAGGAGGUUAGUGCAAUGGCAUAAGCCAGCUUGACUGCGAGCGUGACGGCGCGAGCAGGUGCGAAAGCAGGUCAUAGUGAUCCGGUGGUUCUGAAUGGAAGGGCCAUCGCUCAACGGAUAAAAGGUACUCCGGGGAUAACAGGCUGAUACCGCCCAAGAGUUCAUAUCGACGGCGGUGUUUGGCACCUCGAUGUCGGCUCAUCACAUCCUGGGGCUGAAGUAGGUCCCAAGGGUAUGGCUGUUCGCCAUUUAAAGUGGUACGCGAGCUGGGUUUAGAACGUCGUGAGACAGUUCGGUCCCUAUCUGCCGUGGGCGCUGGAGAACUGAGGGGGGCUGCUCCUAGUACGAGAGGACCGGAGUGGACGCAUCACUGGUGUUCGGGUUGUCAUGCCAAUGGCACUGCCCGGUAGCUAAAUGCGGAAGAGAUAAGUGCUGAAAGCAUCUAAGCACGAAACUUGCCCCGAGAUGAGUUCUCCCUGAGACUUUAAGUCUCCUGAAGGAACGUUGAAGACGACGACGUUGAUAGGCCGGGUGUGUAAGCGCAGCGAUGCGUUGAGCUAACCGGUACUAAUGAACCGUGAGGCUUAACCUU